CCUACGGGUGGCUGCAGUGAGGAAUAUUGGUCAAUGGGCGCAAGCCUGAACCAGCCAAGUCGCGUGAGGGAAGACGGCCCUACGGGUUGUAAACCUCUUUUGCCGGGGAGCAAGCCUGAGCACGUGUGCCCAGGCGGAGAGUACCCGGAGAAAAAGCAUCGGCUAACUCCGUGCCAGCAGCCGCGGUAAUACGGAGGAUGCGAGCGUUAUCCGGAUUUACUGGGUGUAAAGGGAGCGUAGACGGUGCGCCAAGUCUGGAGUGAAAUGCCGCAGCUUAACUGCGGAACUGCUUUGGAAACUGGCGAACUAGAGUGCGGGAGGGGUAAGCGGAAUUCCUAGUGUAGCGGUGAAAUGCGUAGAUAUUAGGAGGAACACCGGUGGCGAAGGCGGCUUACUGGACCGUAACUGACGUUGAGGCUCGAAAGCGUGGGGAGCAAACAGGAUUAGAUACCCGAGUAGUC
rnacentral:rRNA from 1 species